UAUAGUAUUUUAUAUUACAUUAUUUUCUCGUGGAAAUAAAAGCGCAUUUGCACUUCAGUCAGACAUUUUAUCAAACACCUUUUCCUCAAUAUACGUUCUUUACCUUCCAUCGAAUCUUCUCCUCAAUAAUGUUUCGGUCAACAAUUUGAUUCUACAAAAGAUGAGAAGAAGAUUUACAAGGAUAUCUGCCCUUUUUCCUGCAAUUCGUAACUGUGUCAAAUUUGAGCACACAUCAUCAUAUUUCAAUCAGCAUAUACAAUUUCCGACUCGAAAUGCCACUACAUUUACAAGUACCCAUCUUUUAAAACCCUCGCGUUAUAUGGUUCCUAUCAAUAAUUUUUCCAUCACCAGGCCCUUCUCAACCAACAGCGACCAAGAGUGUUCUAGUGACACGGAAUAUGAAUUUGAGCGUCAUGCCGAUGGUGAAAAGCUUGGAGAUUUUAAAGGGGUAACGAACCUGGAUUCUUUAGAUGAUUUAGAAACUAUUAUGGCAAUUUUACGAGCAGGUGGUGUUCAAGAGAAGAGUAAAAACCUGGAAAAAUGUGGAGUGAUGGUUACGCCGGCGAUAGUGUCUAAUGUUCUUUCUCGGGUUCGAAAUGAUUGGGAAACUGCGUUUACCUUCUUUUUGUGGGCUGGAAAACAGCCCGAUUAUGCUCAUUCCAUUAGGGAGUAUCAUUCAAUGAUCUCCAUUUUAGGGAAGUUUAGGAAGUUUGAUACUGCUUCAGCUUUGAUCAAUGACAUGAGAGCUGCAUCUUUACUAACUCCACAGACCCUUUUGAUAAUGAUCAGAAAAUAUGCAGCUGUGCACGAUGUAGGCAAGGCAAUCAGUACUUUCUAUGCGCUUAGACGGUUUAAAUUCGAAAUUGGAAUGGAGGAAUUCCAAGGUUUGCUUUCUGCUCUCUGUCGAUACAAGAAUGUGAAGGAUGCUGAGCAUUUGCUCUUCUGUAACAAAAGCUCUUUCCCUUUGAAUACCAAGAGCUUCAAUAUUAUACUUAAUGGAUGGUGCAAUGUGGUUGGUGAUUUGCGCGAGGGUAAACGAAUUUGGAGGGAGAUGGAGGAGAGAGGGAUUAUGCGCGAUGUUUACUCUUAUGCUAGUAUAAUGUCUAGCUAUUCGAAAGCUGGUAAUCUUAAUGCGGUUUUCAGGCAUUUCGACCAGAUGAAGGCUCUGGAAAUUGAACCAGAUAGGAAAGUCUACAAUGCCGUGAUUCAUGCUUUUGCAAAAGGGAGGCUUGUGAAAGAAGCUCGCAUUCUCAUGAAAACAAUGGAAGAGAAGGGAAUUAAUCCCGACACCAUCACUUAUAACUCGCUCAUCAAGCCUCUUUGCAAGGCACGAUUGUUUGAUGAAGCCAAAGAAGUUUUUAAUGAGUUGAUAGAGAGAGGCCUUUCCCCGAGUACUCGAACUUACCAUGCUUUCUUUCGGAUUUUAAGGACUGGGGAAGAAGUGUUUCAGCUUCUCGAUAGGAUGCAUAUGGAAUGCCAUCCGAGUCAUGAUACGUAUAUAAUGUUGAUCAGGAAAUUUUGUCGUUGGCGCCAGCUGGACAAUGUCAUCAAGCUGUGGACUGAGAUGAGCAAGAACGGACUUGACCCUGAUCGAAGCUCGUACAUUGUGCUGAUACAUGGGCUCUUUUUGAAUGGGAAAUUGGAGGAGGCUUAUAAAUAUUACUUAGAAAUGAAGGAAAAGCAUUUGUUGACAGAACCAAAAAUUGAUGAAAUGCUUCAGGCUUGGUUGCAAGCGAAGGCUGAUUCAGGGCACCAUGCGACUGAAUCAACACACAGUCAAUCAAAUUGUAGUCAGUUAGGACCAAAGGACAGAGUAAAGUCCAAGACAUAUGAUAGGAACAUUGACUUCCGUCGACAACCGGAAACAAAAAGCAUUACCAGAGAGAGAGGCUUUUCUUUUUGUGAUAGUUAAGUAGUGAUCUUGACUCUGUGGUCCUUGAGCAACCAUCCUUUUGAGCAACACGAAGAAUUAUGUGCAGGAUAGUACUGAGAAAUCAAACUCAUUUGAUCAUCGUAAAGGUUCAUAUUUUCUGGGGUGCCAAGUUCACAGGACUUUUACUUAUAAGCUGGAGUAAUAGAGAAUGUGGAGUGAAUUUGGGACUUUGAUGCUUUAUUUAUAGAGCGGUCAUUUGAAAGAAACCUUGGUGUCUUCGGAAUUGUCAAUGAUGCCAUUUGUCUGAAGUAUGAAAACAUUGAUUCAGUUAAUGUAUCAUGCGGAGUUUAACAAUUUCUCGUGUCAUUCAAAGUCUUUUUCUAUCAUGUUAAGAUUUUCCAAAAGUGUCCGAAUUCAAAAGACAAAUAUAAUAUGAGAGGAACUAUGGAAUACAUGAGUAAUUUUGUUUAGU